rnacentral:rRNA from 1 species
AGAGUUUGAUCCUGGCUCAGGGAUGAACGCUAGCGGCAGGCUUAACACAUGCAAGUCGAGGGGCAGCGGGGAGGAAGCUUGCUUUCUCCGCCGGCGACCGGCGCACGGGUGAGUAACACGUAUGCAACCUGCCCCUGUCAGGGGGACAACCCGCCGAAAGGCGGGCUAAACCCGCGUACAUGCCACCGGGGCAUCCCGGAGGCAGGAAAGGCUUCGGCCGGACAGGGAUGGGCAUGCGGCGCAUUAGGCAGUAGGCGGGGUAACGGCCCACCUAACCGACGAUGCGUAGGGGUUCUGAGAGGAAGGUCCCCCACACUGGUACUGAGACACGGACCAGACUCCUACGGGAGGCAGCAGUGAGGAAUAUUGGUCAAUGGUCGGGAGACUGAACCAGCCAAGCCGCGUGAGGGAGGAAGGUACAGAGUAUCGUAAACCUCUUUUGUCAGGGAACAAAGGCGGGGACGUGUCCCCGGAUGAGUGUACCUGAAGAAAAAGCAUCGGCUAACUCCGUGCCAGCAGCCGCGGUAAUACGGAGGAUGCGAGCGUUAUCCGGAUUUAUUGGGUUUAAAGGGUGCGCAGGCGGUCUGUUAAGUCAGCGGUCAAAGCCCGGGGCUCAACCCCGGCCCGCCGUUGAAACUGGCAGUCUCGAGUUGGAGAGAAGUAUGCGGAAUGCGCGGUGAAGCGGUGAAAUGCAUAGAUAUCGCGCAGAACUCCGAUUGCGAAGGCAGCAUGCCGGCUCCACACUGACGCUGAGGCACGAAAGCGUGGGUAUCGAACAGGAUUAGAUACCCUGGUAGUCCACGCAGUAAACGAUGAAUGCUGGCUGUCCGGGGGGAUUGACCCCUGGGUGGCGAAGCGAAAGCGAUAAGCAUUCCACCUGGGGAGUACGCCGGCAACGGUGAAACUCAAAGGAAUUGACGGGGGCCCGCACAAGCGGAGGAACAUGUGGUUUAAUUCGAUGAUACGCGAGGAACCUUACCCGGGCUCAAACGGGGAGUGACUCAGGCAGAGACGCCUGUUUCCCACGGGACACUCCCCGAGGUGCUGCAUGGUUGUCGUCAGCUCGUGCCGUGAGGUGUCGGCUUAAGUGCCAUAACGAGCGCAACCCCCGCGUGCAGUUGCUAACAGAUAACGCUGAGGACUCUGCACGGACUGCCGGCGCAAGCCGCGAGGAAGGCGGGGAUGACGUCAAAUCAGCACGGCCCUUACGUCCGGGGCGACACACGUGUUACAAUGGGUGGUACAGCGGGAAGCCAGGCGGCGACGCCGAGCGGAACCCGAAAUCCACUCUCAGUUCGGAUCGGAGUCUGCAACCCGACUCCGUGAAGCUGGAUUCGCUAGUAAUCGCGCAUCAGCCAUGGCGCGGUGAAUACGUUCCCGGGCCUUGUACUCACAGCCCGUCA